rnacentral:rRNA from 1 species
CCUACGGGAGGCAGCAGUGGGGAAUAUUGCACAAUGGGGGAAACCCUGAUGCAGCGACGCCGCGUGAGUGAGGAAGUAUUUCGGUAUGUAAAGCUCUAUCAGCAGGGAAGAAAAUGACGGUACCUGAUUACGAAGCCCCGGCUAACUACGGGCCAGCAGCCGCGGUACUACGUAGGGGGCAAGCGUUAUCCGGAUUUACUGGGUGUAAAGGGAGCGUAGACGGCAGCACAAGUCUGGAGGGAAAUGCCGGGGCUUAAACCCGGAACUGCUGUUGAAACUGGGCAGCUAGAGUGCAGGAGAGGUAAGUGGAAUGCGUGGUGUAGCGGUGAAAUGCGUAGAUAUUAGGCAGAACACCGGUGGCGAAGGCAGCUUACUGG